rnacentral:rRNA from 1 species
CCCAUCCUCCAAGGCUAAAUACUCCUGACUGACCGAUAGUGAACCAGUACCGUGAGGGAAAGGCGAAAAGAACCCCGGCGAGGGGAGUGAAAAAGAACCUGAAACCGUGUACGUACAAGCAGUGGGAGCACGCUUAGGCGUGUGACUGCGUACCUUUUGUAUAAUGGGUCAGCGACUUAUAUUCUGUAGCAAGGUUAACCGAAUAGGGGAGCCGAAGGGAAACCGAGUCUUAACUGGGCGUUAAGUUGCAGGGUAUAGACCCGAAACCCGGUGAUCUAGCCAUGGGCAGGUUGAAGGUUGGGUAACACUAACUGGAGGACCGAACCGACUAAUGUUGAAAAAUUAGCGGAUGACUUGUGGCUGGGGGUGAAAGGCCAAUCAAACCGGGAGAUAGCUGGUUCUCCCCGAAAGCUAUUUAGGUAGCGCCUCGUGAAUUCAUCUCCGGGGGUAGAGCACUGUUUCGGCAAGGGGGUCAUCCCGACUUACCAA